rnacentral:lncRNA from 1 species
GCUUCCUCCUCUACAGUAAAGACAAGGAGAAUGGCUGCUUCCUAAGGUGAUGGCGAGUGUGACCCUAAGGAUGCCGGUAGCCAUCUUGCCACUCUCGGGAGAGGAAGAGCCACAGAGACAAGGCAACUCUGAGAGCUGAGUCCUGAUGACCGGUCGAAGCACCCGAAUUCAGCACUAGGUGAUCUGUCUCCACUGUGCUUUUAGCAACACGGCCUUGAAAAAGAGACUCUGAGAGACUCACUCCAGUCAUGCAGAAUUUUGGGACAAUAGUGAGGUUUUCUCCCCAGGGAUCCCUUCCAUGUUUGAAUUUCCCCACUCCAAGAGUUGUUCAGCAGAGGCCAUGGGGACUGGCAUCUGGAUCCCGACCCACACUUACUCCAAGUUUUCCACUUUCGGAAGUCUCCCAAUCUUCAGGCUGAAGUUGACUUCAGUGGGGCAGGCAACUGCAUGCCCUACCUAGGUGCCAGUGAGAAUUGGAUUCAGCUUUUAAAGACCCUACUUUCUGCCUCCAAAUGGUCUAAACAAAGAUAGAAGUGUAUUUCCUUCUCAGGUGAAUGAAGUCUGGACUUAGUCUUCCUGAGGUUGUCAUGAACCAGGAUCUCUUUAUCCUGCUUUCUCCCCAUCCUCGGCGUUUGGCAUAAACCUUCCAUGACUCCUUUCCCUCCCCUCUUCUCUCCCCACACUGCACAUGCCAUGUCACUUACUUCAUUGGCUGGAACACGGAGACUCCACCAGCGAGGGAGGCUGGAAAAGGCAUUCUUCAUUCUGAGUGCCAGUUUCAUGUCGGGGGCCCAUCACUAAGGAAGAAGAACAGAAUGGAUAUUUGGGGGAUACUAGGAGUUCUCUGACCUCUCAUGCCACUCCGUGAUGUGCCGCAGCAAAAAUCCUCACUGGAAUAGCUCCAGUGCUGGUGAUGCCAAUGAAGGCCACUGUGGAAAAGAAAAGAAUAAUUAAUUCCAGACACAUCAGUAAAGACACCCUCCUGUUAUAAAUGCUGAGAGAAUGGCUUGGGACCACCUGGGGUCGUUCUCCAUCCUGACCAUUUAGAGAUCACUACCCUCAGGGAGUAAGGUCUCAAAUCCCAUCUCAAUGCCUCAUAGACAGCUGGACUUACAAGGAUUUAGGCCCACAGAAACAUUUUAGGAAACUUCCAGGGAGUCAGAGAUCAGGCAAGGGAGCUGCGUCCCUGCGUGACCCCAUCUCAGCUGAGAUGAGACAAUAGCGGCUUUCUUCGUGAAAAACUAAAGUGGGAAAUGUUUCUUGAUAUGUUUCACUACCAGUCUAUAUAGAGGGUCCGUUUAUGAAUAAGAGAAUUGUGGAAUUCCACACAAGGUUGUUGGGUCUCAGAGCUCCUUCUGCAGCUCAGGAGCACUGUAACUGGAUUCUCCAAAGCAAAAACACUGCUUUUGCAGGUCAUUAACAACCAUGUGACAAAACUAUCUUCAGGGAAGGAACCCAACCUCAACACCUCAACAUUCACUAGUUAACACUUGCAGAGUGCUUAAAGUGCUGGUUGGAGCAUGGUAGGGGCUCAGCAAAUAUUAGUGAAACAAGUGCCUGGACAUUCUGGGUAAGAGAAGCCAUUAUUAUUAGAUAUUUAUGAUGCAUUUACUAUGUAUAAGGGAUAUAAGCACUCUGAAGGAUCACAGAGAUAAGACAUUGUCCUUGCCCUCAAGGAGUUUACAAUCUAAUAAAGAAAAUAAGAGGCUGGGCACAGUGGCUCACGCCUGUAAUCCCAGCACUUUGGGAGGCUGAGAUGGGCGGAUCACAAGGUCAGGAGAUUGAGACCAUCCUGGCUAACAUGGUGAAACCCUGUCUCUAAUAAAAAUACAAACAAUUAGCUGGGUGUGUGGCAGGCGCCUAUAGUCCCAGCUGCUCAGGAGGCUAAGGCAGGAGAAUGGCGUGAACCCGGGAGGCGGAGCUUGCAGUGAGCCGAGAUCAUGCCACUGCACUCCAGCCUGGGCGACAGAGCGAGACUCCGUCUAAAAAAAAAAAAAAAAAACCAAAGCAAAAAAUAAUCAAGGUAAGAAUCUGGGUUCCUGCCUCCCACAAUUUAUAAUUGUAAAUGUGUUUUGUUUUUUUUUUUUUAGCAAGUUUAUUAAGAAAGUAAAGGCAUAAAGAAUGGCUACUCCAUAGGCAGAGUGCCUAUAAUUGUGUCUUUGAAGAGGCUGGUUUUAAUUUUUAUUUUCUUUUAUUUGUUUAGUUUUAGAGAUGGGUGUCUUGCUAUGUUGCUCAGGCUGGUCUCAAACUCCUAGCCUCAACCAGUCCUCCUGCCCUCCCUUCUAAAGUGCUGGGAUUACAGGCAUGAGCCACUGUACUCAGCUAAGGCUGGUUUUAAAAUCCUCUCAUUUCUCCUAGAAGAUGGUGAGGAUGUGAUGUGGGUCACGUGGGCCAGGCUCGGGGGGUCAUGGGCAGCACACUGUCCUUGGAAACAGCAGCAGUGGUGCCUCCUGUUUGUUCCUGUCACCUCUUGCUUCCUAGCUGAGCCUCUGCCUCAGUGUCCCCUCUCCAAGAUGAGGCAACUGCAUGUGUGUCCUGCAGCUCCCUCCCUCCCUUGCACUCCUAGCUGCUAGAAGCAGUCAUAUCUGUGAAUCACAUAGAGCUCCCUGACAUCUGGUCUUACAUCAAAUCUUUCUUGGCAAUAUAAGAGUGAAACAUCCAGUUUUUCAAACUGGCUGUUUUGUUUUGAAUUCAUCUUCAGAUGAGCUUUUCUCAGGAGAAAUGAGGAGUGGGGGACAGAGAGCAGAAUAAAAUGCCCACAGGAGAGUAAAACAAGAUGCCAAAAGACCAGGAGGAAGACCACAGAUUUCCAGAGCCUGAUCCUCUGCCACCAGACCCUGAGGGCAGCUCUUUGAUUUCUGGUCACUCGUGUCCUCCAUUCCAUGCCUUCGGCAGCCACCACCACAACCCCGGGGUCGGGCACCUCCACAGUGUACAGCAAGUUUACUACCUAGCAAAGUAUGGCCCAGAUCAACGGGGGCUUCAAAACCAUCCACACUUACGUUUCAUUCAUUCAUUUGCUAAUUUAUUCAUUCUAUAUUCAUUCAACACUCAUUGAGCACCAGUAGGUGUCAUCUAGAAGUCUUGUCUCCAUUUGCUAUCAGCAAGGGUAUCACCUUUUCUAUACAAUGAGUCUCAUUUCCCAAGAGUGGUUUUGGAUUUGAAAGCAGAUGUUACUCAGAACCUUUUCUGAGGGCAGUGUCUCAGCUCCCCAGGGAGGCCUCCAGUUCUCCAAAGGAGCCUUAUACAUCUUUGGCCCAGGUUAGCAUCCAUCUCCCUGCACAUCCUCACAGAUAUUAAAAAGGAUCAAAGCAUCUUUGGACAGUCCCGGGUUGUCUCCAAGGAAAUCGGAGGCACCUGGAUGUAACUAACAAAGACUCUUUGUGUCAGUGGGGCUGAGUCACCUGACAGGUCUGAAAUGUAACUUCCUCCUCUGGGGCCAGGAGAAUGGAAUCCGAAAGGCUAGAAGGAUAGAUCAAAAUGAAGAUAAAAUUUUAAAGGAAUGAAAGUAGAGUUUUGUACUUAGUGAUUAAAAGAAGAAAAGAAAUGACGAAGGAAAAAGGAAUCCCAUUUGACGGUGUUGUAUGUGAAACUGACUUAGAGAUUUUGGUUGACUGCAAACUCAAGGUGGACUAAGGCCUGAUGUGGCAGCUGGAAACCUGAAUGGACUUUGAUUGUGUCACAGAGUCAGGAGUGUCUAGUGAGGAGACAGUAGCCCCCUGGGUUUGUCACAGGUCAGGCCAUUUGUAAAAUAUUAGGCUUAGUUGUGGGUCCAUGUUUUAAGAUACAUUUUAACAAACUGGAAGGACCCCCAGAGAAAGGUGGUAUAAGUGUGGGAACCACACCGCACAAGAAGCCACUCAUGUUCAUCUAUAAAAAUGAUUUACGGACAUGACAACCUUCUUAAAAUAUCUGAUUGUCAAGAUGUAAAAGGGAGCCUGGAGAACUGAAGGCUGAGAAGGACUUCAUUCUCAGAUUGUGGGAGAGACCUUCUGACAUGGAUUUCUACAACCUCUGGCCACUUCAUCUCACAAUUUAAUCUGCAUCUUCCUCUUUCCCUUCAUGUCCUCCUGUCUUAGAGGAAGAAUCAUUCCUCCUCCUUCCAGAGGCUGACCUCCUCCUCUCCCAUCUCCUGCAGAACAUGCCCUGCUAAUUACCAUCCCCUCCAGAAUCCUUUAUUUUUCUUUCUUUCCAUAAGCCCACAAAUACGAGGGAGAUGAUUAGUUAGGUACUUAUUACAUGCCAGGUGCAUAGUAAUUAAUCUGCCUUAUCUUGAUUAAUCCUCAAACCAAUCCAAUGAAGUAGGUGACAUCCUCUCCAUUUACAGAUGAAGAAACAGAGGUUAGCUGGGUGUGGUGGCUCAUGCCUGUAAUCCCAGCACUUUGAGAGGCCAAGGUGGGCAGAUCACUUGAGGCCGGGAGUUUAAGACCAGCCUGGCCAACAUGGUGAAACCCCCUCUCUACAAAAAAUACAAAAAUCAGCCAGGUGUGGUGGUGCACACCUGUGACUCCAGCUACUCAGUAGGCUGAGGCAUGAGAAUUGCUUGAACCUGGGAGGUGGAGGCUGCAGUGAACCGAGACCCACCACUGUAUUCCAGCCUAGGCAACACAGCAAGACUCUGAAAAAAAGAGAAAGAAAGAAAGGAAGGAAGGAAGGGGAAAGGAAAGGAAGACAGAAAGGGAGGAAAGAAGGGAGGAGAAAGAAAGAGAAGAAGGAAAGAAAGAAAGAAGAAAGAGGAAGGAAGGGAAAGAAAAGAAAGGAAGACAGGGAGGAAGGGAGGGAGGAAGGAAGGAGAAAGAAAGAGAAGAAGGAAAGAAGAAAGAAAGAAAAGAAAGAAAAAGAAAGAAAAAGAAAAAGAAAGAAAGGAAGAAAAAAGGAAGAAAGAAAAGAGAAAGAAGCUGCAAGGAGUUCAGUGACAUUUCCAAGCUCACCCAAGUGAGCUUGGCCAAGUUUGAAACUUGAAGAGUGCUUAAAGUUCUGGAUGGACUCAAUUCCAGGUCCAUCUGCCAUUAAAACCCCCAAGCUCACUUGCUUCCAGGCUUUAAACGUGCUCCUCCAUUCCCAGCCAAGUGCCUUUAAAGAAGGCUUUCUCUGUGGAUCUACUUUCUCACCUCUCAUCCACUCAGCCUGCUGCAGCCUGCUUUCUGCCCUCACCCUCUGCAGAAACGGCCUGCAGAAGGUCAUCAGUGACCUAGGUUAAUCCCAUCAGCCUCUCCUCAGUUCUCACCCCACGUGGCCUUUUGUGGCAUUGACAUUGCUGGCCAUACUCAUCUUCCCCUACCCUCCACCCUCUGCCACAUCUGGCUGAGCCCCUUUCUCUCACCACUUCACCUCUCAUCCUAUAAUCCCCACCUCAGGUCCCUCCUUCCAGGUGUCAUUGGCCCUUUUAAAGGACCUGAGGACUCAGCUAAAGUUGGAAAUCAGGAAUGUGUGUGUGGGACUUCCUGGUAGGUGUAGGGGUGCUAUGGGUCUAAAUGUGUCCCCCUGAAAUUCACAUGUUGAAGCUUAAAUGCCAAUGGAAUAGUAUUAAGAGGGGGGCCUUUUGAAGGUGAUUAAGUCAUGAUUCCUUAUGAAUGGGACUAAUGACCUCAUAAAAGAAGUCCUGCGAAGCCUCUUUUGCCCUUCCCUCUCUUCUGCCAUGUGAGGACACAGCAGUCAUCUCUGUCUUCCUCCUCUGCCAUGUGAUGACACAGGAAGAAGUUGCCAUAUGAGGGACAGGCCCUCACAGACACUGAAUCUGCUAGUGCCUUGAUCGUGGACUUCCCAGCCUCUAGAGCUAUGAGAAAAUAAACCUCUGUUCUUUAUAA